GCGUAAUUCCACUAAACUGCAAGAGGUGUCAAAUAUGUCCAUUUUUAAUUUUUGCAUCUGCUUUACUCAUUAAUAUAGUGCACUAAUUAUAUUUGGUGCUGUGUAGGAAAUGAUGGCAGCAAACUGUUAGCUACAACUAUCUGUGCAAGAGGUUUCGUGGUAGGAAAUUGUUGCCCUUGUGGUCCAUUUUUCAAGUAUUAAUUUAUACAAGUAUUUCAUUUUCCACGAUCUUGCCGAUCCGUCCCCUGCGAUGCCUCAACCUCCUCGUAGCCCUGCACAUGUAAGCAACAGAGUGCAUUUUUGUGAUUGUUUUCCUUCUUCAGUUGAUAAUUUUGAAGCACCUGAAUGAGUCUUUUUUCUUUGUUGUGUUUUUCUGCUGGUUCACUUUGUUGGUCUCAAAAUGAAACUCCACUUUUGAUGCCCAACUGAAAUUUCUGAAAGCAUUACUAGUCAUUAUCUUGUUCAUGAUUUAUUUUCUUGUUGCAAAUCCACACUCUAACAGUACUUCAAAAUCAACAAUACUGCUCUAGCGUACAUGCCUGGAGUGAUCUUACCAAUUCAAUGAAUCCUGAUACAUGUAACUAUAGUGCAUGUGAACUUUAAUUAUAGAUAUACACUUUUAUUUUGAUUCGAUGAUUCUUAACUGCAAGCAAGUUCGAUGCCCUGCGUCAGUGGUAACGAUGUCCUAUCUUUGCGGAGGACUCAUGUUGUGAUUUUCCAUCUUUGCUGAUGCUCUAUCUUCAAACGCUCCUGUUCGGUGACAUUUAUUUGGCUGAUGAUUCUGAUUGUACUGUGGCCGACCUGUGGCUGUCACUACAAAUUUUUCAAUUGUUUUUGGAGUCUGAUGGUUGCACCUGUGCUGCCAUCCGAGAAAUCACACUGCUUGUGCACUUGUGCUUGCAUUCUACUAAAAUGAAACCAAGGGGUGUGCCCCUUAUCUCUAAGAAAAGAAUAUGAUUCUUGAAUUGAUCUAUAACAGGUUCAGGUUAGCUAUACUCCUCUUGUUUUGAAUUUUUAUGUACCAUAUGCUUGCAGAAAUGAAGAACAGGCAUUAAGAUCAAAAUCUUGUACACAAAUCCUUUUUUAAUGGUAGCAAGUAAGAACAUUUUUAUUUUGUUAUCAGCACUUGCCAAUGAUUUUAGGAGUAAGAGCCAUGAUCUAGCAUGCAAAUCUUAAGUAGUAUCGUUCACAAGGCCUUUAGCAUAAAUUAAACUUUAUCCAACUAGAUAAUUUUGUUGACCUUUUGUCUUGGAUAUGCACUUGAAAAUAGUUGAUGUUCCUAUUUUUUCAGGUAUUCUUGUCUACAUGUUCAGGUGCAAGCUCAUCUCUAGAGAAAAUAAAUUGUUGUACAAGCUAGUGUUGAAGUUGCAUCCACUUUUGCCUUGUUCUGCAGCCCAAGGUAUCUUCAGAUGAUGAUUGGAGCCGGAUGGCGCUCAAGCUAUUGCGUAAGCUAGGAUAUAUUGGAAUUUGAAAGUUCUGUGUUGUAAUGCAUCUCUUCUAGUAAAGCGGUUGAUUUAUGUUUGGACAUACAAAAGUGAGAUACAAGAGUUGUAGAACAAAGCUAUCCUUAUAAAAGUGAGAUACAAGAGUUCUGGAGUUUUUACAGUACAUAUCCUAAUUUGAUAAUCAGCCUAACUACUUUAGUACAACUUCUGCAAGACAAUUGUAGCCUAGACACUAAUUUAACUGGAAACCGCG
rnacentral:lncRNA from 1 species